rnacentral:ncRNA from 1 species
GCGGUACCGGUUCACGUUCGCAAGAGCGACCCGGCGACC